AGCUGUUGGAAAAAAAGAAAAAAAGUCGAAGAAUGACACCCAAGAGAAGCUUUCAGCCCUUACUGCCCAUGUCUCCCCCUCCCCAGGCUCAGUCGUACCUGUAGAUGUGCCGCUUCAGUCUAGGCCCUUCCAUAUCCCCUUUGGCCACAUUCCCGCUGUGGCUUCCUACUUUCUUGCCUCAUAUCUCUUUCCUCUCUAAACUGUGAUCUAAUAAGCCUCAGCUUUUCUACUUUCUACUUACAUGCAAUAUCAUGUCCCUCACAGGGUGGCUGUGAGGAAAAUACUUUGUAAAACAAAGCGCUUGCUGAAGAAACUGAAGCUCUCCAUGACUGUUUCUGUGGCUGCAGUGCAGGCCUUUCCCUGGCUGAGGGGCAGAGAUGACUUGAUUUUCCCUAUGCAGAUUUGACCAUGUCGCUUCCCUCACUCCAUAAACCACACAAUGGCUACCUAUGGUCGACAGGUACAAACAUAAAUUCCUGUUUGGCCUUUACAGCUCUUUACCACCUGGCCCCAAACUAGCUUUCCAACCUCAUCCAACAUCUAAUUAUUCUUGGUCAUCUGCAUCCUUAAGUCUCCACGUCUCUCCUUCACAGCACUCCAUCUACCAAAUCGACGCCUUGGAGCUGGCUGGCCUGAAAGCCCCAAAUCCCCUUCCUCCUCCUCAGCAUGGCUCACAGAAAGCAUCUCUUCCUUCAGAAUUCAGCUUAAGCACCAACCUCUAUAUCAAUGGUGUCAAACUCAGAUACCUAUUUCUCAGCUGUGGUUGACUCUGUGACCCUCUUUAGGGUUUCCUUGGCAGAGAUACUAGAGCGGUUGGCCAUAUCCUUCCUCCAGCUUAUUUCACUGAUGAGGAAACUGAGAGAAACAAGGUUACAGAGUCACCCAGCUAGGAAGGGUCAGAGGUCACAUAUCAAUUCAGGUCUUCCUCGAUCAUCCACUAUGGGGCCACCUAGCUGCCCAAAGAAAACGAGGACAGCCACACCAUACGUAAGGAUCCCCAAAGGAGCACCCAGAAUUGGAAAACCACUAGUUAAGCUUAUCUGUGUUUUAUUGUUUUUAAUUAUGUUAACUAUUUCCUGAUUGCCUUUUCCAGUCUUCACAAAAUGGUCACAAAAGUAGUCCUUAUCAAAGUCAAUAUUCAAAUCCAGAUCUCUCCUGGUCUGGCAUUAGCCCACAUUGCCUGUGAAUCCUUUUUCUUGAGCUCCUACCAGGAAUUCUAAAUUUCACUUGGCUGGGUAGAAGUAUUACAUGUCACACUGUUACUCAAAUUAGUUUGUAUCUCAUCUCCAAAGAGCUUGCCCAAGCACUUUAGUGCCACUAUUUGCUUAAUCCUGCCAAGAUUCAUGGGCAAGAGCUGGCUACAGGAGCUCAAGGGGCAGUGGAAAAGAGUGAGCCCCUGGAGUCAGAGGCCCUGAGUUCAAACCCUCACUGCCAGCUUACUCUUGGGCUGACCUUGGCACUUGGACCCAGGUCCCAGCCUUCAAGUUUCCUUCCAACUCUAGAUUCAUGAGCUUGCCUAUGAUCCUGGGGUUUUCAAGGUCUCUUCCAGAUCCAAGCAGAGACUCCUACACCUCAGUGAGAUGAGGAAAUGGAUUCAAAGAGGUCCAGACUGGGCCCAAAGAGGCCCAGAACAUGGCGGUUCUAUUGGGGCCGGACGUCCCAGGAAAGUCAGAUGGGAACCGAAGACAAAUCAGGAAACUGGCCUCGAUCUUGCCCUGGUCUCAUCUUUAACUUGCUGUGUGAUGGACUGUCUCCCACUCCCCGCGCUGCUGAAGUGAGAAUAAGACAGAUGCCUAUUAACUUUAAAUGGCUGAACAAAUUGGGAUGCAUGAAUGUGUACAGAGAAACCUGAAAGAUCUGUCUGAACUGAUGAAGAGUACACUAGGCAAAGCCAAGAAAACGACAAUCACACAACAGUGUGCAUGACAAAAACCACGGACACAAAUCAAAAGAAUGCUACAAAAUUCCAAAGAACAAUCUGUCUCCAAAAAUGUGAUAUGAGAAGGCAUUUUGACCCCACUCUGUGGGAGGGGGGAACAACAAACAUGGUGUAAUGCAUGCAAGACUUGCUGAUUUGUUUUCCCCUUCUUUUUUCUUUGAAAAAAUGUUACUUAUUAUGUGGCAUGGCUCUCUGGGAAAGGGGAAGUGAUACCAAGGGAAAUUAUAGUGAUAUUUUUAAAAUGAUGCAAAUGACAAUAAAAAUUAGUUUUUAUAAGAAA